UCGCGAACCAGGAAGGAGAAAGGGGAAAAACCCCCUUAGCAUCACAAAUCACCAAAUUGAAGCCCCAAAUGUGAUCUUAAGAUCGUGCAUGUACUAAUAUUGGAUCAUCUACACAUUAUUAAACACAAGGAAUUAAGGAGGAAAGCACAAGCCGUUCCGAGUCUCAAACGAAGAACGAUAAAGGUAAAGCGACUUGCUAAAUGACGCUACUUGGAUCGAACACGCUCUUGAUGCACGCUUCCGCAAGGAUUUUAGUUUGGGUCAAAACUUUUGUUAAAUAUACUUUUGGUAAAUGGGUCUUUGUGUAAGUAACAAACUUGUUUGUUGUUAGAUGUCAAACUCGUAGUCAAAGACAAUGUUAGUUGUUUAUGGAAUGUUGGGUUGUAAGAUAUUUAGCAUCUACUAGUUAGUCAUGUUAUGGUUAAAAUGCAGAAUUUUUGCUUAUGAAUUA